rnacentral:rRNA from 1 species
UGGGGAAUAUUGCGCAAUGGGGGCAACCCUGACGCAGCGACGCCGCGUGAGUGAGGAAGGCCUUCGGGUCGUAAAGCUCUGUCAAAGGGAAAGAAGUGCAUGGUGGCUAAUACCUGCCAUGUUUGACGGUACCCUUAAAGGAAGCACCGGCUAACUCCGUGCCAGCAGCCGCGGUAAUACGGAGGGUGCAAGCGUUGUUCGGAAUCACUGGGCGUAAAGGGCGCGUAGGCGGUUUGAUAAGUCAGAUGUGAAAGCCCACGGCUUAACUGUGGAAGUGCAUUUGAAACUGUCAGACUUGAGUAUCAGAGGGGAAAGUGGAAUUCCCGGUGUAGAGGUGAAAUUCGUAGAUAUCGGGAGGAAUACCGGUGGCGAAGGCGACUUUCUGGCUGAAUACUGACACUGAGGCAUGAAAGCUGGGGGAGCAAACA